UGGGGAAUCUUGCGCAAUGGGCGAAAGCCUGACGCAGCCAUGCCGCGUGAAUGAUGAAGGUCUUAGGAUUGUAAAAUUCUUUCACCGGGGACGAUAAUGACGGUACCCGGAGAAGAAGCCCCGGCUAACUUCGUGCCAGCAGCCGCGGUAAUACGAAGGGGGCUAGCGUUGCUCGGAAUUACUGGGCGUAAAGGGAGCGUAGGCGGACUGUUAAGUUAGAGGUGAAAGCCCAGGGCUCAACCUUGGAAUUGCCUUUGAUACUGGCAGUCUUGAGUACGGAAGAGGUAUGUGGAACUCCGAGUGUAGAGGUGAAAUUCGUAGAUAUUCGGAAGAACACCAGUGGCGAAGGCGACAUACUGGUCCGUUACUGACGCUGAGGCUCGAAAGCGUGGGGAGCAAACAGGAUUAGAUACCCUGGUA
rnacentral:rRNA from 1 species